rnacentral:lncRNA from 1 species
AAUUGGCUUACACUCUCCACAAGCUACAUCAUGAACAUCUCAAUACAACAAUACAUGAAAACAUCAUAGUAGGGUCCGACUAUGGACGAAAACAAACGAUGAAAGACCGACGUCUAUCCUUGCUAUCCCAGGCUGCAGGCCCGGAACCCAUCCUAUGAUCGAUGGAGAAGAAGAAGAAACUCCAAAUAUAAUAAUCAUUGC